UACGUAGGUGGCGAGCGUUAUCCGGAAUUAUUGGGCGUAAAGAGUGAGCAGGCGGUUCGAUAAGUCUAAAGUCAAAGAAUAGGGCUCAACCCUAUAGAGCUGUAGAAACUGUCGAACUAGAGUGUGAUAGAGGCAAGCGGAACUCCAUGUGUAGCGGUGAAAUGCAUAGAUAUAUGGAAGAACACCAGUGGCGAAGGCGGCUUGCUGGAUCAAAACUGACGCUCAUUCACGAAAGCGUGGGUAGCAAA
rnacentral:rRNA from 1 species